GAUAAUAAGAAGAUCAAGAAGAAUGCUGUUAUAACAGAGCUCUAUCCAGAGUCUGAAUAUAACCCUAGUCGUGAUGUUGUGGAUGGUGAUGGACAUGUUAGCGUUGAGGACCUUCUUAGUACUCUUCGUGAAAAACCUGAUUAUCCAAAACUUAGGAAAAGAUUUCAACAAAUUGAUAAGAAUGCUAAAUCUAUUUCUGCGCCACUUCCAAAGCCAGAUCAAGAAAGGGAAGAGAGGAAGGCAGCAUAUGAAAUAUCAAAGAAAGAUGUUACGAAGUGGCAGCACAUUAUUCAGAAAAAUAGAGAGGCACCAAGUAUUUCCUUUGGUGAAAAUGUAGAUAUAGGGUUUUCAACUGUAGGAGCAAUAGCUUCUGAAUUUGAACCUAGAACUGAUUUUGAGAAGAAAAUAGCUGCACUGGUUCAUGAUGAAAAAGUUAUGGAAGCUCAUAAAAAGGAUGGCUCUAGGCUUCUUGAAAUGAACAAGGUAUGGAUUUCAUUUGUAGUAGUGGAUCAUCGAAUCUGGAAUCUGAAUGCCUUUUCGAGGUUCCCUUGUUUUCUCUGUUGUAUGAUCUAAAGUCUUUUUUUUGUUAACUUGAAUCAGUUGUGGUUUGGCAUCCAUGUAUGAUUUUUAAAUUUCAAAAUUCACAGCAUUCUUGGAAGCAUUUUAAAUUAGAGAAUUCAUGGUAUUGCUGGAAGCUUUUUAAAUUUCAAAAUUCAAACUUGAAUUUGUUUGUUAGAUUGAAGGUCGCGUAUAGUGAUGAAACAUAUUUCGUAUUAAUAAGAUUGUUCUCCCCAUCAAGAUUAAAAGUAAUAAUUAGAACUGACUCUUGAUGUUGAGGGGGAAAUAAAAUGCAACUUAUACUAACAUGAUCAUUUUUUUGGGCAUCUGUAUCGCCUUCACAAAUAAUUGGAUAGGCAAGUCCUUCCCUUUUAAUCUUUCUUCUAACUAAAUAUUUCUUUUCUUUCCCCCCUUAUUGAACUCUGCUGAAAAAUAUAAUAAUUUGGAUGAAUAGGUUAUCAAUUCUUUUAGGAAAAUCCUAUAUUCAAAUACUUCUGCCCAAAAUUAGUAAUGGGCUUCUGCCAAACACAUUCCAUAAGCUGCCUAGUAGUAGACAAGCCAUAAAUCUCUGGACAAGCAGAUGGAAGAUAAAGUUUAAAUGCUUUUAAGAUGAUCUGGUAAUUCUGUUGAAUUGAUGCCUUAACUUCAUCCAAGUUUUAAUUUAGAUUGCCUUACAAUGUUCCCUGUGUGACUUUAGGAGUCUGAGAUUAAAUUAAACACCAACUACAUUUUAAAGUUAUAUUGUCUAAGCAUUGCUUUCAAUCCAUGUUGUUAGUGAUGCAUAUGAAUUGAAAUUUUUGGUCUAUGGCUGCUGUAUUUCAAUUGUUUUAUGUAGUUUAUGAUGUCUGACAGGUUUCUAUAGAAGAUGAGAAGGAUAGGCAAAAUCGGAUUGCUAAAAUGAGGAGCCUUCUUUUUCGCCAUGAAAUGAAGGCAAAGCAUAUUAAAAAGAUAAAGUCUAAGACAUUUCAUCGUUUGUUGAAGAAAGAUAGAUUGAAGGCAGAAUCUUCCCGAAUGCAAAUGGACCCCGAAGCUGCUAAGGAAUACGCUAUGAAACAGGAGCGCGAAAGGGCAGAGGUAUAUCAUCAUCCCUCAAGAAUUAAGAGAUUGUGCCAUCUGACGAUGAGAAUGAGGAUGAUGAUGAUGAUUACUUUGGGACAAAGAGGAAUGCCAAUGCUCAGAGUGAUGAUGAUUCUGGAGAGGAAGAUGAUGGAAGACACGCAAGGAUGUUAGAAGGAGUUACUGGUUUGCCAAUUGAGGCUUUUGAAGGUAAGAAGACAACUGUUUAACUUUUGCAUUAGUAUGUUAUGCUUUAUUCAUGUAAUCAUGUUAGAACUUUGAGGCAUCUGGUCAGUUCUCUGUUCGAUUUACUGGAAGAUGGAUAUAAAUAUUAGAGAUGCAAAUGAAUGAGUUUUUAAUAUUUCAUUAUUGUUUUAAACUUGCAAGGAUGUUAUUUCAUAACUUCUUGAGACGAGUCUGGCCAGUUCUUAUAUUGGAAUUAUAAUAGCCCAAAAGCUUUUCUUAAUCUACACAACAUCAACAACUAACCUUUUCCCAGAAAAUUUUAUAUAUGCUUCAAGAGGCUGAUAUCUUAUGCCUUUAGGUUUGUUUUUGGGAACAUAUUAUAUAAGUUAUAACUGCUCUGAUUUUGUACAUGUGAAGAACGCUGAAGCAGUUUUUGCUAAUUAAUGGUUACCACUUACUAGAUACAAUCCUGCUGCUGCUCCAUAGUCUGUCUAUUUUGUUUUUAGAACCAUGAAUAUGAAUAUGAUACACUUUUAAAACUUCAUCAUAAUGCAGAUAAUAAGAAGAUCAAGAAGAAUGCUGUUAUAACAGAGCUCUAUCCAGAGUCUGAAUAUAACCCUAGUCGUGAUGUUGUGGAUGGUGAUGGACAUGUUAGCGUUGAGGACCUUCUUAGUACUCUUCGUGAAAAACCUGAUUAUCCAAAACUUAGGAAAAGAUUUCAACAAAUUGAUAAGAAUGCUAAAUCUAUUUCUGCGCCACUUCCAAAGCCAGAUCAAGAAAGGGAAGAGAGGAAGGCAGCAUAUGAAAUAUCAAAGAAAGAUGUUACGAAGUGGCAGCACAUUAUUCAGAAAAAUAGAGAGGCACCAAGUAUUUCCUUUGGUGAAAAUGUAGAUAUAGGGUUUUCAACUGUAGGAGCAAUAGCUUCUGAAUUUGAACCUAGAACUGAUUUUGAGAAGAAAAUAGCUGCACUGGUUCAUGAUGAAAAAGUUAUGGAAGCUCAUAAAAAGGAUGGCUCUAGGCUUCUUGAAAUGAACAAGGUAUGGAUUUCAUUUGUAGUAGUGGAUCAUCGAAUCUGGAAUCUGA
rnacentral:lncRNA from 1 species